rnacentral:rRNA from 1 species
ACUUUAUAUGUUAUUUAAAUUUAAUUGAAUUUUAAUGAUUUAAUUUAAUAGAAUAUUUUAUUGGGGCGAUAGAGGUAUAAAUUAUAUUAACUGCUUUAAGUUGAAACAAUAAUGUUUGAAGAAGUAAUAAAUGAUCCUUUAGAUAAAGAAUAAAAGACUAAGUU